GAUGAAGAACGUAGCGAAAUGCGAUAAGUAAUGUGAAUUGCAGAAUUCAGUGAAUCAUCGAAUCUUUGAACGCACAUUGCGCCCCCUGGUAUUCCGGGGGGCAUGCCUGUCCGAGCGUCAUUACAACCCUCAAGCUCAGCUUGGUGUUGGGCCCCGCCGCCCCGGCGGGCCCUAAAGUCAGUGGCGGUGCCGUCCGGCUCCGAGCGUAGUAAUUCUUCUCGCUCUGGAGGUCCGGUCGUGUGCUCGCCAGCAACCCCCAAUUUUUUUCAGGUUGACCUCGGAUCAGGUAGGGAUACCCGCUGAACUUAAGCAUAUCAAUAAGCGGGA
rnacentral:misc_RNA from 1 species